rnacentral:rRNA from 1 species
AGUGAACGCUGGCGGUAGGCCUAACACAUGCAAGUCGAACGGCAGCACAGUAAGAGCUUGCUCUUACGGGUGGCGAGUGGCGGACGGGUGAGGAAUACAUCGGAAUCUACUUUUUCGUGGGGGAUAACGUAGGGAAACUUACGCUAAUACCGCAUACGACCUACGGGUGAAAGCAGGGGAUCUUCGGACCUUGCGCGAUUGAAUGAGCCGAUGUCGGAUUAGCUAGUUGGCGGGGUAAUGGCCCACCAAGGCGACGAUCCGUAGCUGGUCUGAGAGGAUGAUAGGCCACACUGGAACUGAGACACGGUCCAGACUCCUACGGGAGGCAGCAGUGGGGAAUAUUGGACAAUGGGCGCAAGCCUGAUCCAGCCAUACCGCGUGGGUGAAGAAGGCCUUCGGGUUGUAAAGACCUUUUGUUGGGAAAGAAAAGCAGCAGGUUAAUACCCCGCUGUUCUGACGGUACCCAAAGAAUAAGCACCGGCUAACUUCGUG